AACGAACGCUGGCGGCAUGCCUAACACAUGCAAGUCGAACGAGACCUUCGGGUCUAGUGGCGCACGGGUGCGUAACACGUGGGAAUUUGCCUCGGGGUAUGGAAUAACUCAGGGAAACUUGAGCUAAUACCAUAUAAUGUCUUCGGACCAAAGAUUUAUCGCCCUGAGAUAAGCCCGCGUAGGAUUAGCUAGUUGGUGGGGUAAAGGCUCACCAAGGCGACGAUCCUUAGCUGGUCUGAGAGGAUGAUCAGCCACACUGGGACUGAGACACGGCCCAGACUCCUACGGGAGGCAGCAGUGGGGAAUAUUGGACAAUGGGCGGAAAGACCUGAUCCAGCAAUGCCGCGUGAGUGAUGAA
rnacentral:rRNA from 1 species